GAUUAAGCUAUAGACAGUGAGAGAAUGGAAGCCCAAAGGUGCGAUGCCUAGGUAUGCAAGGAGAGGGAUUCACAAGCCCUCUCUUCCUCAAUGGCGAUCGCGGCCUCACCCUACUGGUUCUCUCUCCACUCUUCUACCGGCGCAUCUUGCUAUUAUCUCUUCUCCGAACGCCUGUCGUUCCUAAAUCCAUAGAACGAAUCGCAAAGUGCGGAGUUGAGCAAUUUGGUAGCUUGCAAGGCCAUCACCUUGAGAUCACGGAGUUCUGAAGAGGCAUCAUCAUUGCACUUGGGAUUAUGAAAAGCUUGUAAGAACUCUGGUGUCCUUUUUUAUCCUUGGUGGAGCUGCUUAGCCUUCUGGUGUUUGCUUGCAGCAGUUGUGUGCUAGCUGUUUGUUGAGUUGUUGACACAACCUACUGCAUUAACUUCUAUUUUUCAAUUGAAAACUUCUGCAUAGUUGGAUUUCAGUGGUUGCUUAGUUUUUUAUGGGAUCUGAAGAGUCACUAUACCUGCACUUGGAAAUAUUAAGGCUUGUCAGUCAUAUUGUCCAUUUUGUGGGUGGUGGAGCUUCUGCUCGCUCUUUGCUUCCUGGUGUUUGCUGGCAGCAGUUCUCUGUUUGCUGGUAAUGCUUUCCUUUUCUGGAGCAUGCUCCCUAGUCCGUACUUUUUGGGUGAUGUGUAUUCUACAGUUUCUACUUUCAGACUGUAAACAGUUGCCAACUAAUUUUACCCAACUGCUUGUACAGUUAGCAACAAAACAGAACUAGUUCAUUGAAUAUUUCUUUGUGUACUAACUUUUUUAUUGCAUUUUUUCUUUUCUGCUCUUCAUUCUAGAUGCAAUGGAGCAGACUAUCGCUAAAAUAAGUGGGACUUAAAAUACCUCAAGUUUUGCUGUUGCCAUGUGUCAUUUACAUACAUACACAUACACAUACAUAUAUAUAUACAGUAGAUCUCCUUUUGUCAUAUUUGUGCGUGUCUUUAUAAUGAUUGUCUUAUUAUAUUUGGUGCUGGAGGCAUCAUCUUUUUGGUGCAUGCGUAUUGAUAUUCUAUUUUAAGAUGAUCCUUCGUCAUUGUUGGGGUGGGGCCCUGGGGCUGGUCUUACAAUUUUGUAUUUUGAUCACGGAAUAACCAUGGAAUACAAAAAGCACCAUCUUCUUGGGUAAUCGUCUGCAUCUUGUCUAAGUUUCUUAAUUGGUUCUUUUGCUAAAAGUGGUUUUGAGUUCUUCCUUUUCAACCUUGGCGAUUUGAACUGAACGUUUAAUUAACUUACCCUGUUUUUGAUGUAGCAUUGUUUAUGCACAACAUGUUCUUUGGGCCAUUAUGGGUGACCUUCACAGUUAGUAUUGAGGUGAAAAUAUAACGCUGAACAAAAUUUCUAGAACCCUCGAUGCAACUUAGAUGAAGUGUGAUACUUGUCUCUUUUAGUACUGAGUCACGGUGAGCACCUGUAAGUUUAUCCUUGCUUAUGAUUGGGGCUUGUUUUGCUUCUUAUUCUUUGCUGUUUGUAAUAUGACUAGGAGUGGAUAUAAGAAAGAAAUUUAUAGAGUUCGUGCUGGCCAUAUCUGUGUGUUCUUUGUGCAGUUAAUAACUUAAUAAUGAUACUACUGUAUUUGUCUGUGAAGAUUGUAGACUUUCACCAAUUCAAGAGGAAAAAUAAAAAAAAAAAAACACUUUCCUGCUCUUCUCUUUCCUCUUUUCUUUUCAGUCUUCACUUGUUCUCUUCCUUAACGUAACUCUGCCUGUGUAGUGCUUAGUGUCAUAUCUUUAUAUAUUCGGUUCCUUCCAAGUAGAAUGUUAUUCCAGGUACAGUUGCUUGAUGACAAGCGUAGAACUUGUCUAUAUGAUUUUUCACAAUUUUCUUUCCUGACAUGCUCGUGCAAUAGCUGGGAACAUGUCUGUGCGUGUUGGGGUGUUGGUGGUGACGUGAAGAGGCAGUGUUGUUUACUUGGAGGAUAUAAUAUUGUGAGAAGCUUCUGAUCCCUUUUUUUUUGUUUCUUUUUUCUUCGUGAAGUUGCUGCCAUUCUCGUUUGACCUUUCUUUUUUUUCCCCCCUUUUUCUAUCCAUUUCUAUUUUUUCCAUUGUUUAGUUGCACCAGGUCUCUCCUUUUUGGAGUUUGCUGUCUGCAUUUACUUUUAAGAUUGGCUGCAGUCUAUUUCAUGCCGAUGGGAUGGGCAGAGCUUAUGCUCCUGCACAAAUGGUCUAUAUGAACAAUAAUGAAUUGUUUCUAUUAUUUUAGUCUUUUGGUUUUUUGAUCUCUCAUCCCUGUAUUUGUCUCUAGCUCUUCUCCUUCUCUCUUAGGGCACCUGGCAUAACAGCUGUCAGCAUUGGUCAAUAUCGAUGUUUGGCAUAUCAACGUUCCAUUUUUGCAAGGUACAAGGAUAAGAAAAAUGCCGAUUUAAGUGUUUUUGAAUCAUAAGCUUUUGCAAGAUAGGAGGAUAAGAUAAAUACCUACUACGAGUUUUUGAUUCAUGAGUCUUUAU